rnacentral:rRNA from 1 species
UACGGGGGGGGCAAGCGUUGUUCGGAAUUACUGGGCUUAAAGGGUUUGUAGGCGGCCUUGUAAGUCAGGUGUGAAAGCCCUCGGCUCAACCGAGGAACAGCGCUUGAUACUGCAAGGCUUGAGGGAGACAGGGGUAAGCGGAACUGAUGGUGGAGCGGUGAAAUGCGUUGAUAUCAUCAGGAACACCGGUGGCGAAAGCGGCUUACUGGGUCUCUUCUGACGCUGAGGAACGAAAGCUAGGGUAGCGAACGGG